rnacentral:misc_RNA from 1 species
GAUGAAGAACGCAGCGAAAUGCGAUAAGUAGUGUGAAUUGCAGAAUUCAGUGAAUCAUCGAAUCUUUGAACGCACAUUGCGCCCCUUGGUAUUCCAUGGGGCAUGCCUGUUCGAGCGUCAUUUGUACCUUCAAGCUUUGCUUCGUGUUGGGUGUUUGUCCUGAGGGACUCGCCUUAAAGUAAUUGGCAGCCAGUGUUUUGGUUUUGAAGCGCAGCACAAGUCGCGAUUCAAAGCUAUACGCCAGCUUCCACAAGCCUUUUUCACUUUUGACCUCGGAUCAGGUAGGGAUACCCGCUGAACUUAAGCAUAUCAAUAAGCGGAGGA